rnacentral:tRNA from 1 species
GGAAUGUUACUCAAGAGGCUUAAGAGGUUUGGUUGCUAACCAAAUAGGUGAGUUUAUCUCAUGCAUAGGUUCAAAUCCUAUACAUUCCG